GAUGAACGCUAGCUACAGGCUUAACACAUGCAAGUCGAGGGGAAACGGCAUCGAAAGCUUGCUUUUGAUGGGCGUCGACCGGCGCACGGGUGAGUAACGCGUAUCCAACCUGCCCAUCACUUGGGAAUAACCUUGCGAAAGUAAGACUAAUGCCCAAUGACAUCCCACGAAGGCAUCCGAAUGGGAUUAAAGAUUUAUCGGUGAUGGAUGGGGAUGCGUCUGAUUAGCUUGUUGGCGGGGUGACGGCCCACCAAGGCAACGAUCAGUAGGGGUUCUGAGAGGAAGGUCCCCCACAUUGGAACUGAGACACGGUCCAAACUCCUACGGGAGGCAGCAGUGAGGAAUAUUGGUCAAUGGGCGAGAGCCUGAACCAGCCAAGUAGCGUGCGGGAGGACGGCCCUAUGGGUUGUAAACUGCUUUUAUAAGGGAAUAAAGUGGGUCACGUGUGACUUUUUGCAUGUACCUUAUGAAUAAGGACCGGCUAAUUCCGUG
rnacentral:rRNA from 1 species